rnacentral:rRNA from 1 species
GGGUUGUGAGGUUAAGCGACUAAGCGUACACGGUGGAUGCCCUGGCAGUCAGAGGCGAUGAAGGACGUGCUAAUCUGCGAUAAGCGUCGGUAAGGUGAUAUGAACCGUUAUAACCGGCGAUUUCCGAAUGGGGAAACCCAGUGUGUUUCGACACACUAUCAUUAACUGAAUCCAUAGGUUAAUGAGGCGAACCGGGGGAACUGAAACAUCUAAGUACCCCGAGGAAAAGAAAUCAACCGAGAUUCCCCCAGUAGCGGCGAGCGAACGGGGAGCAGCCCAGAGCCUGAAUCAGUGUGUGUGUUAGUGGAAGCGUCUGGAAAGGCGCGCGAUACAGGGUGACAGCCCCGUACACAAAAAUGCACAUGCUGUGAGCUCGAUGAGUAGGGCGGGACACGUGGUAUCCUGUCUGAAUAUGGGGGGACCAUCCUCCAAGGCUAAAUACUCCUGACUGACCGAUAGUGAACCAGUACCGUGAGGGAAAGGCGAAAAGAACCCCGGCGAGGGGAGUGAAAAAGAACCUGAAACCGUGUACGUACAAGCAGUGGGAGCACGCUUAGGCGUGUGACUGCGUACCUUUUGUAUAAUGGGUCAGCGACUUAUAUUCUGUAGCAAGGUUAACCGAAUAGGGGAGCCGAAGGGAAACCGAGUCUUAACUGGGCGUUAAGUUGCAGGGUAUAGACCCGAAACCCGGUGAUCUAGCCAUGGGCAGGUUGAAGGUUGGGUAACACUAACUGGAGGACCGAACCGACUAAUGUUGAAAAAUUAGCGGAUGACUUGUGGCUGGGGGUGAAAGGCCAAUCAAACCGGGAGAUAGCUGGUUCUCCCCGAAAGCUAUUUAGGUAGCGCCUCGUGAAUUCAUCUCCGGGGGUAGAGCACUGUUUCGGCAAGGGGGUCAUCCCGACUUACCAACCCGAUGCAAACUGCGAAUACCGGAGAAUGUUAUCACGGGAGACACACGGCGGGUGCUAACGUCCGUCGUGAAGAGGGAAACAACCCAGACCGCCAGCUAAGGUCCCAAAGUCAUGGUUAAGUGGGAAACGAUGUGGGAAGGCCCAGACAGCCAGGAUGUUGGCUUAGAAGCAGCCAUCAUUUAAAGAAAGCGUAAUAGCUCACUGGUCGAGUCGGCCUGCGCGGAAGAUGUAACGGGGCUAAACCAUGCACCGAAGCUGCGGCAGCGACGCUUAUGCGUUGUUGGGUAGGGGAGCGUUCUGUAAGCCUGCGAAGGUGUGCUGUGAGGCAUGCUGGAGGUAUCAGAAGUGCGAAUGCUGACAUAAGUAACGAUAAAGCGGGUGAAAAGCCCGCUCGCCGGAAGACCAAGGGUUCCUGUCCAACGUUAAUCGGGGCAGGGUGAGUCGACCCCUAAGGCGAGGCCGAAAGGCGUAGUCGAUGGGAAACAGGUUAAUAUUCCUGUACUUGGUGUUACUGCGAAGGGGGGACGGAGAAGGCUAUGUUGGCCGGGCGACGGUUGUCCCGGUUUAAGCGUGUAGGCUGGUUUUCCAGGCAAAUCCGGAAAAUCAAGGCUGAGGCGUGAUGACGAGGUACUACGGUGCUGAAGCAACAAAUGCCCUGCUUCCAGGAAAAGCCUCUAAGCAUCAGGUAACAUCAAAUCGUACCCCAAACCGACACAGGUGGUCAGGUAGAGAAUACCAAGGCGCUUGAGAGAACUCGGGUGAAGGAACUAGGCAAAAUGGUGCCGUAACUUCGGGAGAAGGCACGCUGAUAUGUAGGUGAAGUCCCUUGCGGAUGGAGCUGAAAUCAGUCGAAGAUACCAGCUGGCUGCAACUGUUUAUUAAAAACACAGCACUGUGCAAACACGAAAGUGGACGUAUACGGUGUGACGCCUGCCCGGUGCCGGAAGGUUAAUUGAUGGGGUCAGCGCAAGCGAAGCUCUUGAUCGAAGCCCCGGUAAACGGCGGCCGUAACUAUAACGGUCCUAAGGUAGCGAAAUUCCUUGUCGGGUAAGUUCCGACCUGCACGAAUGGCGUAAUGAUGGCCAGGCUGUCUCCACCCGAGACUCAGUGAAAUUGAACUCGCUGUGAAGAUGCAGUGUACCCGCGGCAAGACGGAAAGACCCCGUGAACCUUUACUAUAGCUUGACACUGAACAUUGAGCCUUGAUGUGUAGGAUAGGUGGGAGGCUUUGAAGUGUGGACGCCAGUCUGCAUGGAGCCGACCUUGAAAUACCACCCUUUAAUGUUUGAUGUUCUAACGUUGACCCGUGAUCCGGGUUGCGGACAGUGUCUGGUGGGUAGUUUGACUGGGGCGGUCUCCUCCUAAAGAGUAACGGAGGAGCACGAAGGUUGGCUAAUCCUGGUCGGACAUCAGGAGGUUAGUGCAAUGGCAUAAGCCAGCUUGACUGCGAGCGUGACGGCGCGAGCAGGUGCGAAAGCAGGUCAUAGUGAUCCGGUGGUUCUGAAUGGAAGGGCCAUCGCUCAACGGAUAAAAGGUACUCCGGGGAUAACAGGCUGAUACCGCCCAAGAGUUCAUAUCGACGGCGGUGUUUGGCACCUCGAUGUCGGCUCAUCACAUCCUGGGGCUGAAGUAGGUCCCAAGGGUAUGGCUGUUCGCCAUUUAAAGUGGUACGCGAGCUGGGUUUAGAACGUCGUGAGACAGUUCGGUCCCUAUCUGCCGUGGGCGCUGGAGAACUGAGGGGGGCUGCUCCUAGUACGAGAGGACCGGAGUGGACGCAUCACUGGUGUUCGGGUUGUCAUGCCAAUGGCACUGCCCGGUAGCUAAAUGCGGAAGAGAUAAGUGCUGAAAGCAUCUAAGCACGAAACUUGCCCCGAGAUGAGUUCUCCCUGACUCCUUGAGAGUCCUGAAGGAACGUUGAAGACGACGACGUUGAUAGGCCGGGUGUGUAAGCGCAGCGAUGCGUUGAGCUAACCGGUACUAAUGAACCGUGAGGCUUAACCUUACAACGCCGAAGCUGUU